UGUUCUUACUAUAGAUCUUUGCAACCUCAGCCUACGAUUUUUUUCUUUCCUUAUUAAGUUGAGAACUUUUACCUUUUCACUUAAAGGAAGCACUUUACAGCUUCUCUUUGGCAUAUCUGAAUUGACAGCAUCAUUACUCUUGCACUUUGGGCCAUUUUAGAGUAAAAUAAGGGUGACUUGGACACAAGCACUGCGAUACUAUGGCACCAGAGCUGAUGACCAAGACGCC